rnacentral:tRNA from 1 species
GUAACUUAGUGGAAAAGUACUUGCCUUGCAUGCAUGAGGCCCUAGGUUCCAUUCCCAGC